rnacentral:lncRNA from 1 species
UCCCUUGCAGCUGCCUCCCUUGUAUCCUGUGCCUUGCUCUGAAUAUCCUGCCCAACCUCCUUGGUCUUCUGCCCCACUUCCUUCGUCUUCUGCCCCACGUACUCCGCCGCCUCGGCGAGGUGAUGCUUCGCGGCGGCGGCGAGGUUCUCCGAGGCUGGCUGGGUCUCCCGGAUGUAGUUCAGGAUCCAGGAGAAGGAAGACAGCGCCGUGAGCCCGAAGGCCCCCGACGUCAGGAACCCGGCCACGGCCAGGCCGAUGGCGACCGUGGCUGGAACCAGCACCGGGCUGAAGAGGACGAAGAGCGGCGUGGCAACUGCCAGUCCGGUGAGGGUUCCUGCCAGGGUCAAUCCCGCCAGGAGGAGCAGGAUGCCACCGACCGGGAGGCCGGCGAGGACGGCGAGGACCUGGGAAGUCGUUGGACCUCUCUCGGAAUGGUAAAUGGAGGGCGCUUUGACGCCGGCUUCAUAACGCGGCGGUUCGAAACGGGCUCCGGGGGGGACGACGCCAGCUUCGUAGCGGUGUGUUGUUGUGUGGACUUGGACACUGUGUGGUGGUACUUGUGUGGUCAUGGUUGAAGGUGAAGUUUAGGGUUUUGCAAUGAAGAUGAUGAUGCAACAGUGCUGCAAGUGAAGGAAUUGUUAGUGGGGUGUGUGUUAGAGAGGGAGAGUGUGACGGGGGUGUUGUUAUAUAGCAAAAGUGGAGUUGUUGGGUGAUGACACGUACAUGAUACAUGGUGAGUAGGGGCUUUGCAUGAGGAACAGGUUUCAGUUUGCCCUCGGUUUAGUACAUCAGAAAAAUUAAAGUGGGGUACAUAA